rnacentral:lncRNA from 1 species
UGCACAUAACUGUGGUCUGUUGUUUCUGAAAAGGAUAUCUCAGAUCUUCUAUGCCUUAGAGAACAUGACCAUUAAGAACAUCUGAAGAAUAUUUCUAACUACACUAUUGAAUAAUACUUUGAACGGGAAUAAAGAGGUGCAAAGAGAAGAGGUGAAUAUUAAAGAGUGCAGUUGUCCUAGGAUCCACGAGACAAGCAAAGGACAGGCCAGAUAACCAUGAUAGUACCAUCCCUCUCUAAAUUAAUGGAAAGAACUGAUGUAUACCUCAGAAGAGAAAAAUAGUUAAGAGGACGGCUUUGAUGAUUUAGUCAUAUAAGAUUAUACAGGCAUCUGCAAUUGAAAAGAUGGAGUGAUAGGCAAGACACUUACCCUUUAAGAGGAGACAAAGGCAUAUAAACUUAAUUUUUUGAAAAAUAAAACAAAAAAGGUAAUGGAUGCUCAGCAAGAACAAAUUUCAACUCUAACUGGGAAGCUAACAAAUCAUAUUACGGUUUCUAUCUCUCAGCCUCGCUGAUAUAUCACAAAACCCAAAGCAGAAACACAGUAAGAUAUAGUAUUUGAUAUUUGACACCAUUCAUUUUUUCUGUGGAAAACGAGGUAGUUAACAGAAAGGGACAUAUAGGAACAGAAGCUGCUCCUUGGGCUAGCUUGUUGAACGACAACAGCCGUUACUUUCCGGAUUUCUUGUAUGCAGCAAUUAUCUGGCUCAUCUGCUCACAGUUGCAGGUCGAGACUAAAAGUAAAAUCGCUAUCUAUGUUGGUUGCAAAAAAUGAAGAGAUCAGAGAAUUGUAUAGCUCAGUGACAAUACACCAAUGUGAAAUGCCGUCCCAAGCAGAACUUGUAUUCUCAAGAGCGAGCAAAAUAGAAGUUAAAGAUUCGCAUUAAGUGCAACUUAAUCCUUAGGGAGGCUUAGUCUAUUAUUAGAAAAAAUUCUCAUCCGAAGCAUAUGCCAGAAAAGAGCACUAUCAGAGAAGUAGAAAACCAUUAAUACCACUAGAAAUACUGCUUUAGAUGGAAGAACUGCAUGUUUCUUGCAUAAUAUGACUUGAAUGACAUUAAUACUUGGAACAACGGAAAAAAUUAUUUGAAAGGCAUUACCAAAAGUUUAACACUCUCUUUCCCUGAAACAGAUUAUGAUCUACUGUAGAGAUUACAUAUCAGUAAAAAAAGUAUAGAUCAGAGAAGAACAAAACGCUUGAGGAGAUGUUCAUUCUAGAACAUGUCAAUAACAUAUAACAUAGGUGAUACAACUGAGCUCAUUAGAUUUCAACAAGAAGAGUGAAUAGAGAGCACGUCCAGUACAUAUAAAUCCACUGCUUUAUCAUCUGGAAGUGUUGAAGUAAUGCUUAGUCAAAAGUCAAUCAGUACCCACAGGAAAAAAAACUUGGAUAGUACCUAAUUUUACAAAAGGUGAAUGCAGAACAUCAGCCUAUUCAAAGAGAAGAAAAAUGCAAAACAGGAAACAAAGUUGAAAAAAAAGACAAUUAUGAGAAUUGAGACACUUACUAAGAAUACAGAAAGGAUAAUGCUCACCAGCUGGUUGGCAGCAAACCUCAUCAACAUGUUUGAUGUCACCAAAUCCCAUGGACAAUGCCACCAUUAUGUAGUUUUCCAAUAGCAUCACCAAUCAGUUCAUCUGUGAUGGUUUCUUCAAUAAUCUCAAGUAAACCAAACCAAGGAAUAUAUUUUCAUGAGGGACCUUCAACAUACUCAAAGGUGAGAUGUGUAGCAGCGUCAAUAGCAUAUUGCUUUGAGUAUGCACCUGGCCUCCUACUCCGUUAUUCAAAAUUGUUAGCAGCACAACUUUGAGGUAUGAAGAGACUAAAGAAUACAACUGGUAUCAUUUACACCAACCCAUUUAAGUCUUCACGAGUAAGCUUUGAUUCCACAGUUAGAUGCCUGUAUUUCUUUGUAAACAAUGGACCUCCUACCACAAAGUUGACAUGAAAACUCUCAACAUUAGAUAAAUCCCAAUGUGAAAUAGCAUCAGUGGAGAGACUAGCAUAUUAUGGUUUGUGAUCUUUACAGUGUAAAUACAUGAAGGAAAAGAAACUUGCCGCACAGAGAUAGGAGAGAGAUAUUAUAAACACAUUUGCAGGAAAGUUCUUUAUCAAAAGAAAAAAAAAUUGCAGGGAAGUUAAAUGGCACAUGAACCUUGGAUAACUUACAGCCUCAUCUCCGUGCUUGACUAAAACCAAGGAUCCAUCAUUUCUGUCUGCCUUAAUUUCCAUCAUAUGAGAUCUCCAGAUAACUACUGCAACAAAUAUAUACCUGGCAAGGUAUCACUCAUGGGUAACCAAAUUAGUUUUGAUAAAGUAAUGUUUCUUCCAUAAAGAAGCAGUACACCAAAAAAAAUAAAAAACUUACAUAAAAAUAUGAUUCUUUGUAAGAGAAACCCCAUCUUCUAUACAAGCAAGGACCUUAUGGGUGCACGAAAAAGUAACUACAGACAAGAGGCUACUCCUCAAACGUACAAAAUCAUUGUCAACUCUUUCAAAUUGUUCUCUUCUUUCUCUAUUUUAUAUACUCACAGGAAGGCCAAAAGGGGAAACAUCCCAUGCCUGUGUCGUUUCCUUCUUCUAAAGUUCCAACUGUAUAUAAUCUCCUCCUCUUCCCCUAGCGGCUAGCAUCAUCGACCACAGUAAUUUAAACCAACAGUACCGAAGGAGGUGACUUGUAUAUUCUCUCAAACAUUUGCACAUAAAGCACCAACCUACAUAAGUGAACAAGUGAUCCUCCUCUCCCUCAGUUCUCAACUCUCACUAUCGCUUCCUUACUGCCAACCAAAAAAAUAAGCACACAUUCGAAGGAACACCUGGGGACCCAAACCUAUAAGUUCAAGAAACCCGACUCUUCCCUUACUAUUAGUUUCUAGCAGUACGAUUUAACUGAGAACAAACUAACUCUUCUCGUACUCCAACUUCACGAGUUCGGUAGUAUGCAAUAAGUUCUUGUAAAGUAGUUCCACCAAGUUUGGAAAUCAUACAUCUCCUGUACAUGUAGACUCCUCUUAAACCUCAAGUCACAAUGACCUCACCAUCUUGUAUAAUCAGGAUCUAUCGUACUGUCAUCUCUACUAGCUCAAAACACUACAUAUGCUAUAGCAUGCAAGUCACUGUGCAUUCUCCUAGCACCACUUGUGAACCUAAAAUCAAGCAUUCGUCCUACUCUGAAUAAAUGUAGUCAUUGAAAUCUUCUCAUGCCUUCAUGAUCAUCCUCCAUAAUUCGUACUCCGAUGAAAGUGUGAUAUUUCCAAUAAUUCAUCUUUCAUUCACACUUUCACAGUGCCACACUUUUCCACUAUCAGCUUUCUCCAAAAAGUCUGUUCCUUCUCCAAAUCUCCAUAAUAGUUUCCCAAGCAUGACUAUGUCGAACAGUCUAAAGUCUUCCACCAAAAUCCUUCAGUAAAACCUCAUUCUUCUCUGCUUCUUAGAGUUUAAAUCUGAGUUGUAAUAAAAAACACACAAUGUAGUUACCUCCUCUAUAGCUAUCUUCCUCACAUCACAUAAUAAUAGGAUGUCUUGCAUUCCAAAUUGUAGGAAUCGAAUCAUACUUAAUCCACCUUUUCACUCACACGCUUCUUAACAAUUGUGUUAGUUAUAAAACUCAUUUAGUUUUCUAAAAACACUAUAUCCACCUCGUAUUCUCUAUCUCCCACUUGAUGAUGACCUUUUAAUUGGUCAAUUCACUAUCUCACAUCCUAAGAAAAGAUCUUAACAUCUAUAAACGAUAUAUGAUAUAUCUAUCCCUUAUCUCUCACCUUCUUCAACACUUCUCUUUCCCUCAUGCCGAACCUUCUACCAUACACCACAAUAUUACCUCUUGCUCCAAUCUCUUUCUUUUUUUUUUGGAAACGGGUAACUUGUAUUCCUCAGCAUUAAGGGCUAUGCUGGCCACCUCCAAAAAGGAGAGAAAAAAAGAUGAAAAACCUAAGGAUGUAAUUACCUAAUUGGAUUUCCUCUUCUAUAUUUUGUCUUUUGCACCAAAAACCUAAGGAUGUAAUUACUUUCCAUUUAAUCUUUUGUAUUGAGCAUUCUUUUCCUUGAAAAAUCCUCUGAUUCCUUUCCUUCCAAAUAUUCCACCAGAUACAAGCAGGUACUGUCCUCCACCCACUUCUUUUGACUCUUGCUGCCCCCCCUUCUGAUCCAACAACUCAAUAAAUCUGCUGUGUUCUUUCCCCCCCCCCCCCCCCUCUUUUGAUCCAACAACUCAAUAAAUCUGCCGUAUACACCAAUUUAGGCUUAGGCUAGCUAAAUUGAAGAAUAAAGCCCAUACUUGUAUUGUUACAUUGCCAUGCAAAAAUAAGUGUUUGUUGGUUCCAGUGCCUCUUUGCAUAGUAAGCAUCUAGAGGCUAUGUUGAUGCCCCAGCUCCAGUCUCUUUUCUCACCCCACCCAUCUCGUUCGUUCAUCACAACUAACCCUUUUAAACUUGUUCUAUGUCAGCUAACAGUUCGAUGACUCUAUCUUCCUUUCCAUCUCUCCCAAACUUUAAGUAUUUUUAUUUAUUUAUUUUUUCAAUCUCCUCCAUCCUUUGGUGAUUGCCACACACACACACAACAAUUUUUGGUGCCAAGGUUUAAACAAUCUUUUACCUAGUUUUUUUGUUUCUUAUUCAUAUAUAUAGUUUCUUGCUUUUGUUAUCUAUUUGUUGUUUAUCAUGUUUAGGUGAUUGCACUAUUUGGUUGAUGUUAUUGUUCCUUGUAUGUAUGUUCUACACUACUUUUCAAUUAGUUGUCAUGUUUUCUUCACCAUCGUUUUUCCUUUUCAUUACUUCUUUGUUUUGUUGCACUUGAGCCGAGGGUCUUUUGGAAAGAGCCUCUCUACCUCUACGAGAUAGGGGUAACGUUCACGUACACUCUAUCCUUCCCAGAUCCCACUUUGUUCCCACACUGGGUAUGUUGUUGUUUAGUUUGGUGCACCACCUUGGUCCCCUUCGUGAACAUUUCAUCUAGUUCCUAAGCCUUUUGGGACGAUACCAGAAGUACCGGAGGGAUGUAAAUCCUUUAUUGAUAUUGGAAAUAUGACUAGUGUAAUUGGCUCUUCCUUUCUAGCCUUAUCUAAGAAUUUUGACCACCCACCCACCCUAUCUCCUUUAGAUGGGAAAUUGCCAAAGUUGUUUUUCCUGCCAUCUGCUUCAUUGGUUAUAUGAUGGAAGAAAGCAAGAGCCCUUUACCCUCCCACUCCAAUUCUGAGUCUAGACUUAAGUUCAAGCCUAUUGGUUUUUUAAAUCAUCGCCUUCUAACCCAUUUUUGGUUUUGAAAAUGGAGUUUCCGACAUCUUGAUCACCUACUCAAUGACAUUGGUUCGAUCCGAUAGUUAUUUACUGGAACAUAUAAUUUAGUAAACUGAUUCCAAUUUGUUCUCCUACCAAGUUCACUUAAGAGCAUCCACCACCUUAUUUGUUUGCUUCUUUCCAUCAUGUUGAAUUGCCGGCUGAGCAACCCCUCCUCCUUAGUUAUUUCAGACGGCAUCACUAUUUUUCUGCCUGAUCUUUUUUGUUAAGUGUCGCACAUAUGUUGAAGGACAAGUGGUGUACUUAUGAGGUCUUAGAUAAUUCUUGCCUCAUGACCAAGCUUCUGGGAUUGAAUUAGGACCAAACAUAGGAUCCCUUAUGUUAUAUUGUCAACACUCCUGAUGUUCUUCAUAUCAGUGUGUAUGGGUGUGUUAAGUAUCUCACAUAAGUAAUGUUUUCUCUUUAUAAGGUAUUCAACAAUCUUCACCUUAAGCUAUUUUUGGAGCUGAAUUAGGUGCAAGAACCAUUUUCUGAAACAUUUUCCACUUCAUAAUAGGCUUUUCCUAUCCCUCUUUUGCCCUUUCUCUUCCCUCCUCCUCAUUUCCCCAAUCAAGUCCUUUCCCAAGUUUCAGGGAUAAUUUUUUAUGUUAAUCUCACCCGGAAACUCAUGUCACCCCUCUCUGGUGCUAUAGACACUGGCACCCUUUUUCUCUUCUUUCACAGACAACCUAACUCUAGCUAAACCUGGUAAGUUUAAAAUCCAAUUUAACAAAAAAGUUUCAAGGAUAAAUUUCAGCGUGUUCCCCGAAACUCAUGUCGCCCCUCUCCACUGUUAUAAACACUGGCACCCUUUUCCUCUUCUUUUAGGGACAGCCUAACUCUAGCAAAACUCGGUUAGUUACAAUCCACAUCAAUGAAAAUUCACACACUUCCCCUCCUUUUUGAGCAAUUCAUUAAAUCAUAGAUGAGUCAUUAAACCACUGCCCCCUCGCUACUUCAUUUUUUUUUACAACAUGUUCUCUCAGACCACCUUCCAACCCUUACCUAGUACACGCAAUGCUUUAACAUCCCUUCACAUUGAAGGGGGCAACUUACUGGAUGAUCUCACACUCAUACAAACCUCCCAAUCAAACAUGUCUUAACUCUUAAGGAACUCCUUCCUCCUCAAAAUGUGGUCCCCAGAUAACCUGAAUCUGGGUUCUGCACAGUCUCCACUUUCCACAUUUCCUAAUCAUGAUCAAAGCUGACCAGGCCAAAAUUUCCUUGAACGGGUGAUUGUUAAUGUUCUUUGGUUCUAGAAAGGAGUCUCCCUCUAAAACUCAUACAAUAAGCAGGUCACUUAAGGAACUGUUUUAUCUUCACUAAACCAAAGUGGUUAUUAAGAAAAUUAUUGAGAAAGGAAACGAACCAGUCUUGUCAAAGAUGAAAAUCUCUCCAGGUCUAUUGGGGCUUUAAGUGUAAAACGAAAUUGAAGAGUGGGUUUUAGUUUAAAAAGGCGCAACGAAGAAAAAUAAAGAAGUAUAUGCAGUGCAAGAAAAAAGUAACAACUUUAUUCAUAAUCAUUUCCUUAAUAAUUAAUACUAUAUCUUUCUUAUCAUCAUCAUUAUAGUUUAGUACCGCUCUUAUAAGAUAGAACUUGUGGGCAAUGAGACACACCUAGGCGCCUUGCAUACACUGAAACGCAGCCAAACUGAAGCGAAGCACCUAGCCUGAGCUUCAAGACUUAAGUGUGUCACAAAUGAGCCUUUGACAACACUGAAAUGAACACGACUAGAAAUGUUUCAUCCGACAAUCACCUCCUGCAACAUCAAUACAUAAGAGAUGAGUGAGAGUUCAAUAAAAUAUUAGGCAUUGUACCCACAUUUCAACAAAGAAAAUCCACUAAUCACUGAAAAUACUGAACUUUGUUUAAAUGUGUUUUCGGCAUAGCUUAAUAACUGCAGAAGAAACAAGUAUUCUUAAGCCCAUUCGUUCUCUUAGAAGAAUGCAUGAAAGGUCUUUGGCAAUUUUUCUAUUCUCAUUCUCUUUUUGUUUCCUCAAUGAUGGAGGAUUCCCCGAGGGACCAUGGAGCUGAGUUUC